rnacentral:rRNA from 1 species
AGAGACAGCAGUCGCCGCGGUAAAACGUAGGUCCCGAGCGUUGUCCGGAUUUAUUGGGCGUAAAGGGAGCGCAGGCGGUUUAGUAAGUCUGAAGUUAAAGGCAUUGGCUCAACCAAUGUAUGCUUUGGAAACUGUUAGACUUGAGUGCAGAAGGGGAGAGUGGAAUUCCAUGUGUAGCGGUGAAAUGCGUAGAUAUAUGGAGGAACACCGGUGGCGAAAGCGGCUCUCUGGUCUGUCACUGACGCUGAGGCUCGAAAGCGUGGGUAGCGAACAGGAUUAGAGACCCCAGUAGUCCCUGUCUCUUAUACC